CCUAGGCUUUGGAGAUAACUAUUCAAUUGAUUCAGUUUCUAAGGUAUGAAUUAUAUCACAAAAUCCAAGUCUUGUAAAUCUAAUGUCAGGAAAAUAGGCUUAGAAAUAUUUGAUACAAAUGUUACAGGGACUCUAGCUUCAUAAUCCUACUAUUAAAUAAAUAAAAAAUAAUCUAAUGUAGUAAUGGACUUUUCCUUGUUUUUUUUUUAUGAGCUAUGGACUUGUCCUUAUUACAAAAAGAUCAAUAAAUUAUAAUUGGAAAGAUCAAGUCCCAUUUAAAGGUAAGCAAUAACUCUCUGAUAACUCAGUAGUAGAUUGUCACUAGUUAAGUCGGAAGCUUAGCCUGUUGUUUCUAAUAUUCUUGUUAGGAUUGUCAAACACUGCAUUGGUUUUUUUUUUUGGCUAGUAUAUGGCUACUAUCCUAGUUUUAUUGUAGAUAUAUAUGAUACUUGAAGCAUGAAGUCUGAAGGUUGGAGCCAAGGUAGUGUGUUUUGGAAACUUUAAAAAAUCAUUUUCUUAUUUUUCUAUUCUUACUUUGUUUUUUAGUGAAAUAGUUUGAACUCUUUCUUGAAGUUGUUAGAUUCAUUUGUGCUUAUAAUGUGACCAAUAAGAAUAAACCAGCUAAGCUCUUGCUUGAACAUGUGCAAUGUUGUCUCAUUUAUCUCAUUUGGAGUUCAAUAUUGGGGGCUGGCUUCAUAACUAUUUGCAUUACAUAUAUGCUAUAUUCUUUCCCGGUUUCCUUUGAUGAAGAGUGGAGUUUGCCAUCUAUAUGCAUUUGAGGAUCAGUGUUCUAUCCAUUUUGCAAAUUUUCAGCUGAGUUAUCGUAUUUUAAGCUGCACUUUCCACAGGGAAUCAAUUAUUUCUUUAGUCUCUGGUGAUUUGUUUCUGCUCAUGUUUUAUUCUUUAACCUGUGGUAGUUUUGUUUAUUAUUUGGAUUGGGGUUCAGUUUUUUCUUAGCUCUAAGGCAGGUUGUUAGAUUAUAUUGCAAUAAAUACUUAUGUGGUACAUCACUUGGCUGGUUGUUAUGACUUCUAUGAUAAAUACAUGUUUUAUGAUUAAUAAAAAAAUUAUCUCCUUUCGUGCCCCCAAUAGGUUUUGCGCCUCAACAGGUUAUAAUUUUUUUUUAAAAUUUUAAAAAAGACCUUUAAUAGCACUUUUCUAAAAAGAGCUAUUAAAAAUAGACCUACAAUAGCACUUUUCAAUAGGCUGUUGUCAUAGAUAUUGCUAUGAAUUGCAUUUUCAUAUGCUUUUUUAGAAUUGUAGAUAUAUCAAGGAUUUGACAAUUAUCUUGAAAUGGAUCCGUUAUCAAGAAUUAUUUGUAAAUUUUUUGAUUAUUGAAUAUAACUCUUCAUUGGAUAAUCGAGAUAUGCGUUUAUAUGUUUUGCAGUGAGCCGAAGUCCGAAUAUCGAUUCUUGAUUCAACGGAUAAUAACGGAUUUUUUCAGAUAGUUAAAUCAAAUUUCAUCCAUGAGUUGUUCUUUAUUAUUCCUUAUUUUUUUGACUUUGAUGCAACAUAAACGAAUUAAACUGUGAACGUGUUUUUCUGCAGCGUGGGUUGUCAAAAUAAUAACUUUCUUCAUAGCAUGCAGCCUCGAGAUUUGAUUUGCGAUCUUUAGUAAAAAAAAUUAAUUCGUAUCAAUCUUUUUUUUUUUGUUGAUUCUUAUAGCAUAUAUUUCUUGGUUGUUUUUAUUUACUCUUUGGUGUUUCAGUAGAGGAUGUGGUUUUGAUUUCAUGAUAUCUUGAUCAGUUUUACUAUUAAUUUGUUGGCAGAAUGCUGGAGUUCUCAUGUGAUUUUUCUAUUUUAGGGUGUUUCCAAUUUAGUAUCGGAUAAUGGUAAUGCUUUGCGAUACUUGAUACAUGGUUAUAACUAAAUGUUUGAUUGUGAAUUGAAACUGCAUCUGUUUUCUGCCGUGUCGUCUGUUUGAAGCAAUAACUUACUUUGUAGCAUCAAACAAUCAAGUUCGUUUUGGCACACUCUUCUUGAUUGGGAAUCAUUUUCAUAUAAUUUAUUCUCUGGAGUUUUAUUGUCCCUGUGUUAUCAAAUUAUUACUCCUUUACACAUUAGGUUUUCUUACAUAAGUUUUUGACAAUGUAAAAGCCCUGUUGAUCAGUGACUUGGCCCAUAGCAUUCAUCUCCACCGUAACCUUAGGUGCUGUUUCUUAUGAUCAUCUAUUUUGUUGGGUAUAACUUAAUUUUGUUGGGCGAGGCUUUAGUUAGUGUUGUACUAUUUUGUUAUAUUUAUUGUUAUAUGUGAUUUAUGCUGUUAAAAAGAUAUCCGCUUCAUUUUACUGUAUUAGGAGGAAUCGAAAAUUGGGUCAUAUGGGUACAUGAUGUGAAAAGAAUAUGUUCCAGUGAAUGAUCAUCUUCUGAAGGCUUUAAUCUGGUCAUAUCUUCUACGAAUCUUGACAUUUCAGCUAGUUUACUCAGUAUCUACUUCUGCAGUUCUGUUAUUUGUGUUGGUUUUACAGGGGAGAGGUUCACAUGCGUUCCUUUCAGCCAAUAAAUGUGCGGAACCGGUGGCAGGCAGAGGUUUACAUACUUUUCAUACAGCCUUGGGAUAAAACAGUGCCGUAAGGACUCGUCUGUACUACAUGUUGGAGAACUAGUAUCUGCUGUCCUUUACUAAAUUGGUAUGCUUCACAAAUUGUGAAAUCACAAAACCGACCUGAUGACAAGAAACCAUCAUUUGGCUAAUCUUAUCAAAUAUCGGGAUCAACCAGACCGACCUGAUCUUUCUGCUCCUCAAAGCUUGCAAUUGUUUCUGAGAUUUGACCAGCUGAUAAUUGCCGCUGAAUUUGAACUCUGGCAGCUCUCAAGGUCUUCACUUCUUGCUGAACUGGUAGGAUAUUCUCAUUAUUUGAAGCACAAAGCACAAUGCUUUGAUCUGGCUUUCUGUAUUGUAACGAUUCAGUUCUCUGUAGUGUCAACUAUCAAGCCUUAUUUUUGGUUCAUUGUUUCUCUGUUGAUUCUUACCGUUUAUUCUUUUUGAUUUUCAAAAGAUAAAUAUAUGAAUGUGCGAUUAUGGCAGAGAUUAUAAUUGGUUUUUGAAGUUUAUAUGAUUUUUAAGAAUCUGUGUGUGUAUUUUAGUUUUAUGCAGUGACCCAAGGACUCCUUCAUAUUACGAGGAUUGCCUCAAUUAUGCAAUUUCAUGUUGAGUACAAGAUCUUCCAAAGCGGGUGGAAAAUCAUUGCGAUGAACAUAGGCUGUGUCGAAUACUUGCCACUAUUGCAAGGCUUAAAUUUGGUCAUUUCUACUGACACAACUGUGUCAUCAUUUUAGUCUUUGUUUGAUACUCAGCAUCUAUUGUUUGCAGUUCCGUGAGUUUUAUGUGUGGGUGUUGAAUGUGCAGUGUGCUGUGGAGCCUGUGGCAGGAUGAGGUUAACAUACUUUCCAUUCAAUUCAGCCUUGGGAUCCGUUACUGUUACAUAUAUGUGUUUUGUCUUGCUAGUCUUGGCGAUUAAUGUUUUGCCCGGAGAAGCAAUUUAAAGGCAAUCUGGCCCUCAAGAUUGACAUUUGGAAGGCUUUGAUACUCUUGAAUGGAGCUUUCUUCUUAAUUGUUUGGGUUGGUUUGAGUUUGACAGAAAAAUUAUGGAUUUCUUGCUUAUUUGAACCGGUGGAAUUUGAUUGGGUAGCACAUUGGGCCAAAACCGACACACGUACACCCCCCAAGUGUAAAGCUACUUGCUGCUGCUGUAAGUCCUAUGCUUUCCGUUCAGCCAAUAAAUGUGCGGAACCGGUGGCAGGCAGAGGUUUACAUACUUUUCAUACAGCCUUGGGAUAAAACAGGUAAUUUUUGGCUUACAUGUGUAUUUGUUUUGGGAGAGUGUUGUAGUUUAUGUGUAUCUGUAGCAUGAACGCGAGUAUGAAGCAUUUAAGAUUCUAGACUACAUCACUUUUCCCUCCCCAAGCUUUAAGUUUUGAUUUCCUUAUCUCUAAGUCUUCAAUAAUUUUUUUCCGCUUGAUAUCAGGGUUUUCCGUACUUGUUUCUUUUUCGCUUGGUAGGGAUUUCUGUAUUGAUAAGCUUUUCUCAGAAUCUCAAGAAUUUCACACAAUCACAUAUGUUUUCAAAACACUGUUUUGCAUUUAAUUUUUAUGGCAGCAUGUUGUAGUCAUUUUAAUCGAGUAAUAUGUAAUUGUGAAUUGAAACGUGUAGCUGUUGAUUACAGUUUAGUGUGUAGAUAGUGGUAAUGUUUUGGGAAACUUGAUACAUGGUUAUAACCUCAGUGUUGAAUUGUGAAUUGAAACUGCAUCUGUUUGCCGCUGUGUCGUCUGUUUUAAAGCAAUUACUUACUUUGUGGUAUCAACCAAUCAGGUUUGUUUUGGCACACUUUUCUUGUUUGGAAUCAUUUUCAUAUCAUAAUUAUUCUCUAGAGUUUUAUUGUCCCUUUGUUAUCAAUUUACUCCUUUACACCUUUGGUUUUCUUACAUUUAAUUUUUUGACAAUGUAAUCUGACAGCCAAAUUUUCCACGAUUCUCGAGAAACCGGGACAACUUCAUAAAUAUCUUGCUGAUCGGUGACUUGGUUUAGCGAGUUAAACUAGUCUUCUUUCCUUUCUUUUUUUUUUUGUUUUUGACAACUUUAUGUUUUAUUAAUUUUUCUCUACAUAUCAUAUGGUGUUCACUGGUAAAGUGUUACAUCUAGGCUUAAUCUGGUGAUCUGAAUUAAAUUUGAGAUAUAAACAAAUUUUUAGGGAUUUAAGUAUUCACUCAUGAAGAUAAAUUGAAUCCAAUCACAUGAAGCUAGAGACCAAAUACUCAUUUUUGUUGCUGCAAGUGAAGCUAGCAUAGAUAGAUAACCUUGUCAAACAACUAAAUGUGCAGCCAAAAUCGUUUCUUAGUGUUGGUCAACUUUGACUACAUGUAUAUAUCAGAUCUGUAUUUCGAUGCCUAUCUAUUGAAAUAGUUUAGUCCCAUAGGCAGUUGAUUUCACAUUAGAGGAAUUAAAGUCGUCGAGGGUGUAUCAAAGGCAUUGCUUCAUAGGUGAAUAGUGUAAUUGUUGGUCCCUCCCUACACUUAGAAACUUCUUGUGCUUCUCAUUUAUUGUAUGUAACUAUUCUUAUCUUUCAUUUGUUUGAAUUGUUCAUGCAUUGACUUUGAAUUAUUCUGCUGCCACCUACUACCUUGAAACAAAUUAUUCUUAAGUAGUGUUGGGGUUCUGGUGUUUGCUUGCUGAUUAUUUCUAUAAUUCAUGCUUCUAGUUCAUAUUUGCUAGAUGAGAUCUAACCUGUUCAAAUGCAGGAACAACCGUAGAAUGCAUAUUGGCUGAAUGAAGUUAAACUCAGUAAGUUACUUGGGACAAGUUUUAUUCUGUUACUUUGCUAAACUGAAAAAUUCUGCAUGAAAACUGGUGUAUGUUGUGAAAGCAGGUUGUCAUUGUGGCUGUGUUUAAUUUUUCAAUUCCUCUUGGCUUAAUUUGGUAAUUUGAACUUAGAUUUAAACAUAUUUGCUUCAAUGCUUCUCUGCAUGCUUGGGCAAGAUUUCACUGACUUUCUCAUUCAUCGUUGGAAUAUAAUUGGUCAUUUUUUUACUUACAUUAUAUAUCCUCAAAUAAUUGUUAUUUGAUUGUGUACAAGCUGGGGAAGUUUUAGUGUUUCAGUAUCCAGAACCUGAGUACUACUCUGGCAUAGAAUAUGAGAUUCUAGAAUAAAUCUUUCCACUUCGUAUGAUAGGAAAUUUAGACAACUUGCUUAUGUAUAGGGUUUGUGUUCUGAUGAUCUGUUCGUUGUAGACAAACAUAACUUUGCUGGGAGAGGUUUUCUACUAUCUUCUUGUUGGGAGAGGUUUUCUAUUAUCUUAUACUGUUUUUUGUUCAUAUUGUUAUUAGUGAUUUAUGCUGCUCUUUACCUACCCAAGAUAAGGACUUUUGGACAUUUUGAUUACAUCAUAGGCUAUUUAUUUUAUUUUUUUUGAAAAUCAACAACUUUUUGGACAUGGUACAAGAUAGAUUGAGGAAUAUAGUUAGACCAAAAACCAUUGGGAUCAAACACAGCCCACUUAGCUAGCUAAUGAACUACAAUAUUCCCAGUCCUCUUAACCCGACAAUGCUUGGUUGGGAACAACUUAACUUUGAUGGGGGGUUUUCUAUAAUCGUCUUUUAAAUUCACAACGAUGAAGAUGAUACUUCUUAAAAAACAUCCUGUUCAUUUAAGGGCCCAGGGACUUCUCUGUAUUAAGAGGAAGCUGCAAUUGUCUCUUCAUAUUGGUACACGAUGUUCUUGCAAAUUGUUCCAAUGAGUCAUCAUCUUCUGGAGGCUGUCCUAUAGUCGCUACUGUUGCUAGGCUAGUUUGGUCAUUACUGCUGCGACUCUUGCAUUUCAAUCUUUUUUGGAUAAUCGGCGGCUACUUUUGUCGGCUCCUUUGAGUUUUUGGUGUGGGUGUCACAGGGGAGAUAACCUACAAAUGUGUGGCAGGAAGAGAGGUACACACUUUCUCAGUCUGCCUUGGAUAAAACUUUCGCCUUGGGAUAAAACUGGUCAUACCUCUUACUUUCCGUUCAGCCUUUGAUAAAUAAAACAUAUCAUUUUUUUUCCCUUCUUAUUCUUGAGAUCAGUUGCUCACAUAUGUUUGCUUUCUGAUGACUCGAUUUCAGGAUUUGCCGUUCUUGUUUUCUUCAAUAGGCUGACGUCAUGGAGCUCGCUAUGAAUUGCAUUUUCAUAUGCGUUUUUAGAAUUGUAGAUAUAUCAAGAAUUUGUUGAUUCCAUUUUUUUUGUUGAUUCUUAUAGCAUAUAUUUCAUGGUUUUCUUAUAGCAGUAGAGGAUGUGGUUUUGAUUUUAUGAUAUCUUGAUCAUUUUUACCUUUAAUUUGUUGGCAGAAUGCUGGAGUUCUCAUGUGAUUUUUCUAUUUUAUGGUGUUUCCAAUUUAGUAUCGGAUAAUUGUAAUGGUUUGCGAUACUUGAUACAUGGUUAUAACUCAAUGUUGAAUUGUGAAUUGAAGCAAUAACUUGUUGUGUAGCAUCAAACAAACAAGUUCGUUUUGGC